rnacentral:rRNA from 1 species
AAAUUGAAGAGUUUGAUCAUGGCUCAGAUUGAACGCUGGCGGCAGGCCUAACACAUGCAAGUCGAACGGUAACAGGAAGCAGCUUGCUGCUUUGCUGACGAGUGGCGGACGGGUGAGUAAUGUCUGGGAAACUGCCUGAUGGAGGGGGAUAACUACUGGAAACGGUGGCUAAUACCGCAUAACGUCGCAAGACCAAAGAGGGGGACCUUCGGGCCUCUUGCCAUCAGAUGUGCCCAGAUGGGAUUAGCUUGUUGGUGAGGUAACGGCUCACCAAGGCGACGAUCCCUAGCUGGUCUGAGAGGAUGACCAGCCACACUGGAACUGAGACACGGUCCAGACUCCUACGGGAGGCAGCAGUGGGGAAUAUUGCACAAUGGGCGCAAGCCUGAUGCAGCCAUGCCGCGUGUAUGAAGAAGGCCUUCGGGUUGUAAAGUACUUUCAGCGGGGAGGAAGGUGUUGUGGUUAAUAACCGCAGCAAUUGACGUUACCCGCAGAAGAAGCACCGGCUAACUCCGUGCCAGCAGCCGCGGUAAUACGGAGGGUGCAAGCGUUAAUCGGAAUUACUGGGCGUAAAGCGCACGCAGGCGGUCUGUCAAGUCGGAUGUGAAAUCCCCGGGCUCAACCUGGGAACUGCAUUCGAAACUGGCAGGCUUGAGUCUUGUAGAGGGGGGUAGAAUUCCAGGUGUAGCGGUGAAAUGCGUAGAGAUCUGGAGGAAUACCGGUGGCGAAGGCGGCCCCCUGGACAAAGACUGA